AGGACGAACGCUGGCGGCGUGCUUAACACAUGCAAGUCGAGCGGAAAGGCCCGUUCGGGGUACUCGAGCGGGCGAACGGGUGAGUAACGACGUGAGCAACCUGCCCUUAGCUCCUGGGAUAGGCUCCGGGAAAACCGGAAUUAAUACCGGAUAUGACCUAGGCCGACAUCGGCCGUGGUGGAAAGUUUUUCGGACUAGGGAUGGACUCGCGGCCGUAUCAGCUAGUUGGUGGGGUAAUGGGCCUACCAAGGCGACGACGGGUA
rnacentral:rRNA from 1 species